rnacentral:rRNA from 1 species
GACGAACGCUGGCGGCGUGCCUAACACAUGCAAGUCGAGCGGGGAUUUAAGUGGAAGUUCUUCGGAAUGGAGAUUUAAAUUCUAGCGGCGGACGGGUGAGUAACGCGUGAACAAUCUGUCCCGGACAGGGGGAUAACACUUGGAAACAGGUGCUAAUACCGCAUAAGACCACGGCCUCGCAUGGGGCUGAGGUAAAAGGAGCAAUCCGGUUCGGGGUGAGUUCGCGUCCGAUUAGCUAGUUGGUGAGGUAACGGCCCACCAAGGCGACGAUCGGUAGCCGGCCCGAGAGGGUGAACGGCCACAUUGGAACUGAGAGACGGUCCAAACUCCUACGGGAGGCAGCAGUGGGGAAUAGUGGGCAAUGGGCGAAAGCCUGACCCAGCAACGCCGCGUGAGGGAAGAAGGUUUUCGGAUUGUAAACCUCUGUCCUAUGGGACGAAGGAAGUGACGGUACCAUAGGAGGAAGCCCCGGCUAACUACGUG